rnacentral:lncRNA from 1 species
UGCAGAAGAGGAAUCAGUCAGGAGCUAUUAACAGUUUAAUUGAUACGCUUUUAUGAAGAAGUGGGUUUUUAAUGAUUUUUUUGAAGGAGUGGAGACUGGGUGAGCAUCUAAUGGAGGAGGGAAGCAAGUUCCACAGGAACGGUGCAGCCCUCGAGAAAUCUUGAAGGCGAGCAUCAGAGGUGGGAGUACGGACAGAAGAUAGACGUAAGUCUUCAGCAGAUCGUAAGGGCCUAGACGG